rnacentral:tRNA from 4 species
GGGCGCGUAGCUCAGGGGAUAGAGCACCAGAUUCCGGUUCUGGGUUGUCGGGGGUUCAAAUCCCUCCGUGCCCG